rnacentral:rRNA from 1 species
CGCGUAGGCGGCCUGGUCAGUCGGAUGUGAAAGCCCCGGGCUUAACCUGGGAAUUGCAUUCGAUACUGCCAGGCUGGAGUGUAGUAGAGGGAAGCGGAAUUCCGGGUGUAGCGGUGAAAUGCGUAGAGAUCCGGAGGAACAUCAGUGGCGAAGGCGGCUUCCUGGACUAACACUGACGCUGAGGUGCGAAAGCGUGGGAGCAAACA